AGAGUUUGAUCCUGGCUCAGGAUGAACGCUGGCGGCAUGCCUAAUACAUGCAAGUCGAACGAGAGGAAGGAAAGCUUGCUUUUCUGAAUCUAGUGGCGAACGGGUGAGUAACACGUAGGUAACCUGCCCAUGUGCCCGGGAUAACUUCUGGAAACGGAUGCUAAAACCGGAUAGGUAGCAGACAAGCAUUUGACUGCUAUUAAAGUGGCUUUGGCCAUGAACAUGGAUGGACCUGCGGUGCAUUAGCUGGUUGGUGAGGUAACGGCCCACCAAGGCGACGAUGCAUAGCCGGCCUGAGAGGGCGGACGGCCACAUUGGGACUGAGACACGGCCCAAACUCCUACGGGAGGCAGCAGUAGGGAAUUUUCGUCAAUGGGUGAAACCCUGAUGCAGCGACGCCGCGUGGAGGAAGAAGGUCUUCGGAUUGUAAACUCCUGUUGUUGAGGAAGAUAAUGACGGUACUCGACAAGGAAGUGACGGCUAACUACGUGCCAGCAGCCGCGGUAAAACGUAGGUCACAAGCGUUGUCCGGAAUUACUGGGUGUAAAGGGAGCGCAGGCGGGCGAUCAAGUUGGAAGUGAAAUCCAUGGGCUCAACCCAUGAACUGCUUUCAAAACUGAUUGUCUUGAGUAGUGCAGAGGUAGGCGGAAUUCCCGGUGUAGCGGUGGAAUGCGUAGAUAUCGGGAGGAACACCAGUGGCGAAGGCGGCCUACUGGGCACCAACUGACGCUGAGGCUCGAAAGUGUGGGUAGCAAACAGGAUUAGAUACCCUGGUAGUCCACACCGUAAACGAUGAUUACUAGGUGUUGGAGGAUUGACCCCUUCAGUGCCGCAGUUAACACAAUAAGUAAUCCACCUGGGGAGUACGACCGCAAGGUUGAAACUCAAAGGAAUUGACGGGGGCCCGCACAAGCAGUGGAGUAUGUGGUUUAAUUCGACGCAACGCGAAGAACCUUACCAAGUCUUGACAUCCUGCGACGAUGCUAGAAAUAGUAUUUUCCUUCGGGACGCAGAGACAGGUGGUGCAUGGUUGUCGUCAGCUCGUGUCGUGAGAUGUUGGGUUAAGUCCCGCAACGAGCGCAACCCUUAUGGUCAGUUACUACGCAAGAGGACUCUGGCCAGACUGCCGUUGACAAAACGGAGGAAGGUGGGGAUGACGUCAAAUCAUCAUGCCCUUUAUGACUUGGGCUACACACGUACUACAAUGGCGUUAAACAAAGAGAAGCAAGACCGCGAGGUGGAGCAAAACUCAGAAACAACGUCCCAGUUCGGACUGCAGGCUGCAACUCGCCUGCACGAAGUCGGAAUUGCUAGUAAUCGUGGAUCAGCAUGCCACGGUGAAUACGUUCCCGGGCCUUGUACACACCGCCCGUCAC
rnacentral:rRNA from 1 species